rnacentral:rRNA from 1 species
CACGGGGGGAGCAAGCGUUGUUCGGAAUCACUGGGCGUAAAGGGCGUGUAGGCGGUCAGGUAAGUGGGAUGUGAAAUGCCCCGGCUCACCCGGGGACCGGCAUCCCAUACUGCUUGGCUUGAGUACGGGAGAGGAUGUGGGAAUUCCUGGUGUAGCGGUGAAAUGCGUAGAUAUCAGGAGGAACACCGGUGGCGAAGGCGGCUCACUGGACCACAACUGACGCUGAGGCGCGAAAGCUAGGGGAGCAAACAGG